UGGGGAAUAUUGGACAAUGGGCGCAAGCCUGAUCCAGCCAUGCCGCGUGAACGAUGAAGGCCUUAGGGUUGUAAAGUUCUUUUGUCAGGGAAGAUAAUGACGGUACCUGAAGAAUAAGCACCGGCUAACUUCGUGCCAGCAGCCGCGGUAAUACGAAGGGAGCUAGCGUUGUUCGGAAUUACUGGGCGUAAAGCGCACGUAGGCGGACUUGUCAGUCAGGGGUGAAAUCCCAAGGCUCAACCUUGGAACUGCCUCCGAUACAGCAAGCCUAGAGAUCGGGAGAGGUGAGUGGAAUUCCUAGUGUAGAGGUGAAAUUCGUAGAUAUUAGGAAGAACACCAGUGGCGAAGGCGGCUCACUGGCCCGAUACUGACGCUGAGGUGCGAAAGCGUGGGGAGCAAACAGGAUUAGAUACCCCCGUAGUCCCUGAGCGGGCUGGCAAGGCGCAU
rnacentral:rRNA from 1 species